rnacentral:misc_RNA from 1 species
CCUUCUAGUUAUUUUGACUGGCUCGGGGGCCGGCUUGCGUUGUCCCAAAAGGACCCCUGCCGCCCUGGCUGCAUCCUUGUCUAUUGCGUACUACAUGUUUCCUCGGUAGGCUUGCCUACCGGUUGGACAACCAUUAAACUCUUUUGUAAUUGCAAUCAGCGUCUGAAAAUAUUUUAAUCAUUA